UAUUAGAGAUACUAGAGGUUACUGUAUUAGAGAUACUAGAGGUUACUGUAUUAGAGAUACUAGAGGUUACUGUAUUAGAGAUACUAGAGGUUACUGUAUUAGAGAUACUAGAGGUUACUGUAUUAGAGAUACUAGAGGUUACUGUAUUAGAGACACUAGAGGUUACUGUAUUAGAGACACUAGAGGUUACUGUAUUAGAGAUACUAGAGGUUACUGUAUUAGAGAUACUAGAGGUCACUGUAUUAGAGAUACUAGAGGUUACUGUAUUAGAGAUACUAGAGGUUACUGUAUUAGAGAUACUAGAGGUUACUGUAUUA